rnacentral:rRNA from 1 species
UAGUGGCGNGACGGGUGAGUAACACGUGGGUAACCUACCUAUAAGACUGGGAUAACUUCGGGAAACCGGAGCUAAUACCGGAUAAUAUUUCGAACCGCAUGGUUCGAUAGUGAAAGAUGGUUUUGCUAUCACUUAUAGAUGGACCUGCGCCGUAUUAGCUAGUUGGUAAGGUAACGGCUUACCAAGGCGACGAUACGUAGCCGACCUGAGAGGGUGAUCGGCCACACUGGAACUGAGACACGGUCCAGACUCCUACGGGAGGCAGCAGGU